rnacentral:rRNA from 1 species
CCUACGGGCGGCAGCAGUGGGGAAUAUUGGACAAUGGGGGGAACCCUGAUCCAGCCAUGCCGCGUGUGUGAAGAAGGCCCUCGGGUUGUAAAGCACUUUCAGUGAGGAAGAACGCCUGGUGGUUAAUACCCAUCAGGAAAGACAUCACUCACAGAAGAAGCACCGGCUAACUCCGUGCCAGCAGCCGCGGUAAUACGGAGGGUGCGAGCGUUAAUCGGAAUUACUGGGCGGAAAGCGCGCGUAGGUGGCUUGAUAAGCCGGUUGUGAAAGCCCCGGGCUCAACCUGGGAACGGCAUCCGGAACUGUCAAGCUAGAGUGCAGGAGAGGAAGGUAGAAUUCCCGGUGUAGCGGUGAAAUGCGUAGAGAUCGGGAGGAAUACCAGUGGCGAAGGCGGCCUUCUGGACUGACACUGACACUGAGGUGCGAAAGCGUGGGUAGCAAACAGGAUUAGAUAUCCCGGUAGUC